CUCAGAUUGAACGCUGGCGGCAGGCUUAACACAUGCAAGUCGAGCGGAAACGAGAAUAGCUUGCUAUUCGGCGUCGAGCGGCGGACGGGUGAGUAAUGCUUGGGAAUAUGCCUUAUGGUGGGGGACAACAGUUGGAAACGACUGCUAAUACCGCAUAACGUCUACGGACCAAAGGGGGGAUCUUCGGACCUCUCGCCAUUUGAUUAGCCCAAGUGAGAUUAGCUAGUUGGUAAGGUAAUGGCUUACCAAGGCGACGAUCUCUAGCUGGUUUGAGAGGAUGAUCAGCCACACUGGGACUGAGACACGGCCCAGACUCCUACGGGAGGCAGCAGUGGGGAAUAUUGCACAAUGGGCGAAAGCCUGAUGCAGCCAUGCCGCGUGUGUGAAGAAGGCCUUCGGGUUGUAAAGCACUUUCAGCGAGGAGGAAAGGUUAGUAGUUAAUAACUGCUAGCUGUGACGUUACUCGCAGAAGAAG
rnacentral:rRNA from 1 species